rnacentral:rRNA from 1 species
GAUGAACGCUAGCGGCAGGCUUAACACAUGCAAGUCGAACGGUUGCACAGCAGUAGCAAUACUGUGGGUGGCGAGUGGCGGACGGGUGAGGAAUACAUCGGAAUCUGCCUUAUCGUGGGGGAUAACGUAGGGAAACUUACGCUAAUACCGCAUACGACCUACGGGUGAAAGCGGAGGACCUUCGGGCUUCGCGCGAUAAGAUGAGCCGAUGUCGGAUUAGCUAGUUGGCGGGGUAAAGGCCCACCAAGGCGACGAUCCGUAGCUGGUCUGAGAGGAUGAUCAGCCACACUGGAACGGAGACACGGUCCAGACUCCUACGGGAGGCAGCAGUGGGGAAUAUUGGACAAUGGGCGCAAGCCUGAUCCAGCCAUGUCGCGUGGGUGAAGAAGGCCUUCGGGUUGUAAAGCCCUUUUGUCCGGAAAGAAAAGCACUGGGUUAAUACCUCGGUGUUCUGACGGUACCGGAAGAAUAAGCACCGGCUAACUUCGUGCCAGCAGCCGCCGUAAUAC